UUCCCUACGGGAGGCAGCAGUAGGGAAUCUUCCACAAUGGACGAAAGUCUGAUGGAGCAACGCCGCGUGAGUGAAGAAGGGUUUCGGCUCGUAAAGCUCUGUUGGUAGUGAAGAAAGAUAGAGGUAGUAACUGGCCUUUAUUUGACGGUAAUUACUUAGAAAGUCACGGCUAACUACGUGCCAGCAGCCGCGGUUAUACGUAAGUGGCAAGCGUUGUCCGGAUUUAUUGGGUUU
rnacentral:rRNA from 1 species